rnacentral:rRNA from 1 species
UUCCUACGGGUGGCUGCAGUCGAGAAUCUUCCGCAAUGGGCGAAAGCCUGACGGAGCGACGCCGCGUGCGGGAUGAAGGCCCUUGGGUUGUAAACCGCUGUCAGGGGGGAUGAAGGCCGCAAGGCUUGACAGAGCCCCAGCGGAAGCACGGGCUAAGUUCGUGCCAGCAGCCGCGGUAAGACGAACUGUGCGAACGUUAUUCGGAAUCACUGGGCUUACAGGGUGCGUAGGCGGCCUGUUAAGUAGGGUGUGAAAUCCCCCGGCCCAACCGGGGAAUUGCGCUCUAAACUAGCAGGCUUGAGUGAGCUAGGGGUGCACGGAACUUCCAGUGGAGCGGUGAAAUGUGUUGAUAUUGGAAGGAACACCGGAGGCGAAAGCGGUGCACUGGGGCUUAACUGACGCUGAGGCACGAAAGCCAGGGUAGCGAACGGGAUUAGAUACCCUAGUAGUCA